rnacentral:rRNA from 1 species
UACGGGGGGGGCAAGCGUUGUUCGGAAUUACUGGGCGUAAAGGACUCGUAGGCGGCCAACUAAGUCAGACGUGAAAUCCCUCGGCUUAACCGGGGAACUGCGUCUGAUACUGGAUGGCUUGAGUUUGGGAGAGGGAUGCGGAAUUCCAGGUGUAGCGGUGAAAUGCGUAGAUAUCUGGAGGAACACCGGUGGCGAAGGCGGUUCUCUGGGCAUUACCUGACGCUGAGGAGCGAAAGUGUGGGGAGCGAACAGG